GCAUUUACAAAUAGAUCCAAUUGAAGCACGAACGAAAGAAAUAUAUAGCUAUAAUUUCGAUAUCUUUUUUUCGAGAGGAAUCGUAUUUGUAUUAAAUUUUAAGUUUCGAUUAAUUAAUAUAGUUGAAAUAUAGUUAAAUAAAUGUACGCGUAUAUCCUUACCUUGUGCGAUUUUAUCGUUAUUCGCGCUUUUCCAUAGAACUUGAUCGAAAGAACCUCGAAACAAAAGGGAUCAAUCAUUUGGCUUGUUCGAUUUCGAGGCGAGAAUUUUCUUCUUUGGCAGUGGCAUAAAGUGUCUCGUACGUUUGCGUCGAUGCUUUGGAAAUAAUACAACGAAAAGUUAAUGCUGAUCGUUGAUCGAUUAUUGUCUAAAAAAUUAGGUUAUGUACGCGUAUAUUCACGAAUUAAUAUGUAUUAUAAUUCUAACAGAUUUAGUAUCGAGCCGCAGGCAUUGGUCAAAUACAGAAGAUAUUAAUCGAAAUCUUGGACAAUAUUUGUUGCAUCAAUGUAAUCAAAUCAAGUGGAUAAUUACUCGUGCAGCUUGGUUUCUUAAAUUAGAUUUUCUUUAACGAUCGAGUAAGAUCUAUAAAAAAAAAUGUAUAUUCCUUGAAGUGUGCAAAUUAAAUGAAGUUAAAGCAUAUGAAAGCCAUCUAUUCAAUCGUAAAUUACGAUUGUUAGAAGGAUCGCCAUCCCUACAAAUUUGCAACAUCAAAAGAUCUGCCUACGAACGCUCGUUCGUGAAAAAAAAUACAACGCGUGGGCACGUUAUUAGCAUACUGAUGUCGAAUUUUAAACGGAAGACGUCAGAAAAAUUUGAAGUUCCGUGUUAAUAUUGAAUUCGUAUCUGAAAUAAAAAUAUAAAGAUCAAUUUAUAUUGUAUUUCGAUAUAAUUAUUUAGGCAGAAGAUGACACUCUGAAGAUGAAUAAAUGAUGCAAUAAAAUAAAUAAA